rnacentral:rRNA from 1 species
AGAGUUUGAUCAUGGCUCAGGACGAACGCUGGCGGCGUGCCUAACACAUGCAAGUCGAACGGAGAUACGAUUUCGGUUGUAUCUUAGUGGCGAACGGGUGAGUAACGCGUGAGCAACCUGACCUUUAGAGGGGGAUAACACUUGGAAACAGGUGCUAAUACCGCAUAAGACCACGACCCGGCAUCGGGAUGAGGUCAAAGGAGUAAUCCGCUAGAGGAGGGGCUCGCGUCCCAUUAGAUAGAUGGCGGGGUAACGGCCCACCAUGUCGACGAUGGGUAGCCGAGCUGAGAGGCUGAUCGGCCACACUGGAACUGAGACACGGUCCAGACUCCUACGGGAGGCAGCAGUGGGGAAUAUUGGGCAAUGGGCGCAAGCCUGACCCAGCAACGCCGCGUGAGGGAAGAAGGCCUUCGGGUUGUAAACCUCUGUCCUUGGUGACGAAAAAAUGACGGUAGCCAAGGAGGAAGCCCCGGCUAACUACGUG